rnacentral:lncRNA from 1 species
AUGUAUGAAUGAAAAUUUUAUAUAAUUAAAAAGUAAGAAUGUUCAAUGGAAGAAGAAUAAGGAGCAAGAGCCUCCAACUGUUACUAAUGAAAACAUAAUCACAAAUCUCACAUAAACAAUAACAAAAGAUGGAAGAUUACACCAAGUUAUUUUCACUGAACCAACCGUGUAUCACCACCAAUUCAAUGAAAAAUAACAAAACGAAACAAUUAUAAACUAUAGCUAUGACAAUCUCAAAAGCAGAGAGAAUACUUUUUCUAUAUAAGCCUACGCGGCGUUUCAAAUGACCAAUACGGCAGUGACGAGACCAACCACAACAGAUCCUGCGGCGGCGAAUCCAUACGAGACAGCGGCGUUCGCAGACGGCGCGGGAGCCUCGGACGGAGGAGCAGAGAUUGACAAUGGAGAAGCGGAAGGCGAGGGAGAGGACGCAGACGAUGGAGGAGGAGACGGCGGAGAGGUCACAGCGGGUGCUGGUGACGGAGAAACUUUGUGUGGAGGCUUGUACGGAAAAACGGCAGGUGGAGUAGCAGCGGCCUUAGGAGACGACGCCGGAGAUUGUGCGACGGCAGAGAAGACUAACAUAGCAGCGAGCAGGAGAAUGAGAGUGAAGGACGAAGCCAUCUGAGAGGCUGAGAAGUAAACGGUGGAGAAUAAACGAAGGUGGUGCAACGCAGGGGAUAAUUGUUGUAGUUUUACGAAGAGUGUGUUUGAGAUGAACGAAGAGACAGAGAGUGAGAAUUUAUAGAAAAAGAGGUUGGUGUGAUGGGAGGAUCAGACGGUGGAGAUUGCUCCGAUAAGUUGAUAUGAUGGCAUG